CCUACGGGCGGCAGCAGUGAGGAAUAUUGGUCAAUGGGCGGAAGCCUGAACCAGCCAAGUAGCGUGCAGGAUUACGGCCCUACGGGUUGUAAACUGCUUUUACCGGGGAAUAACGCGCCUUACGUGUACCGCUUUGCAUGUACCCGAUGAAUAAGGACCGGCUAAAUCCGUGCCAGCAGCCGCGGUAAUAAGGAAGGUCCGGGCGUUAUCCGGAUUUAUUGGGUGUAAAGGGUGCGUAGGCCGGAUGUCCAGCGUGCUGUGAAAUGUCCGGGCUCAACCCGGGCCUUGCAGGUGAAACUGGGGUGCUUGAGUGCGCGGGAAGCAGGCGGAAUGCGUGGUGUAGCGGUGAAAUGCUUAGAUAUCACGCAGAACCCCGAUUGCGAAGGCAGCUUACUGGAGCGGAACUGACGCUGAUGCUCGAAAGCGCGGGUAUCGAACAGGAUUAGAUACCCGGGUAGUC
rnacentral:rRNA from 1 species